rnacentral:rRNA from 1 species
UAAGUUAAUAAGGGCGCACGGUGGAUGCCUUGGCACUAGAAGCCGAUGAAGGACGUGACUAACGACGAAAUGCUUUGGGGAGUUGUAAGUAAACAUUGAUCCAGAGAUGUCCGAAUGGGGGAACCCGGCAUGUAAUGCAUGUCACUCAUUACUGUUAAGGUAAUGAAGAGGAAGACGCAGUGAACUGAAACAUCUAAGUAGCUGCAGGAAGAGAAAGCAAACGCGAUUGCCUUAGUAGCGGCGAGCGAAAUGGCAAGAGGGCAAACCGAUGUGUUUACACAUCGGGGUUGUAGGACUGCGACGUGGGACGACAAGAUUAUAGAAGAAUUACCUGGGAAGGUAAGCCAAAGAGAGUAACAGCCUCGUAUUCGAAAUAGUCUUUAACCCUAGCAGUAUCCUGAGUACGGCGAGACACGAGAAAUCUCGUCGGAAUCUGGGAGGACCAUCUCCUAACCCUAAAUACUCUCUAGUGACCGAUAGUGAACCAGUACCGUGAGGGAAAGGUGAAAAGCACCCCGGGAGGGGAGUGAAAUAGAACCUGAAACCGUGUGCCUACAACAAGUUCGAGCCCGUUAAUGGGUGAGAGCGUGCCUUUUGUAGAAUGAACCGGCGAGUUACGAUAUGAUGCGAG